rnacentral:rRNA from 1 species
CCCUUAGAUGUUCUGGGCUGCACGCGCGCUACACUGUCGGAUUCAGCGAGUCAUAUCCUUAACCGAAAGGUUUGGGUAAUCUUUUGAAAGUCCGACGUGAUGGGGAUUGAUCAUUGCAAUUAUUGAUCAUGAACGAGGAAUUCCUAGUAAGCGCGAGUCAUCAGCUCGCGUUGAUUACGUCCCUGCCCUUUGUACACACCGCCCGUCGCUACUACCGAUUGAAUGGUUUAGUGAGAUCCUCGGAUUGGCGCCUACGCGGCUUCUCUGAGGCCACGCUGGAUGCCGAAAAGUUGCUCAAACUGUAUCAUUUAGAGGAAGUAAAAGUCGUAACA